rnacentral:rRNA from 1 species
CCUACGGGGGGCAGCAGUGGGGAAUAUUGCACAAUGGGCGAAAGCCUGAUGCAGCAACGCCGCGUGAGCGAUGAAGGCCUUUGGGUCGUAAAGCUCUGUCCUUGGGGAAGAAAAAAAUGACGGUACCCAUGGAGGAAGCCCCGGCUAACUACGUGCCAGCAGCCGCGGUAAUACGUAGGGGGCAAGCGUUAUCCGGAAUUAUUGGGCGUAAAGAGUGCGUAGGUGGUUAUGUAAGCGCGAGGUGAAAGGCAAUAGCUUAACUAUUGUAAGCCUUGCGAACUGCAUGACUUGAGUGCAGGAGAGGAAAGUGGAAUUCCUAGUGUAGCGGUGAAAUGCGUAGAUAUUAGGAGGAACACCAGUGGCGAAGGCGACUUUCUGGACUGUAACUGACACUGAGGCACGAAAGCGUGGGGAGCAAACAGGCUUAGAUACCCCGGUAGUC